ensembl:lncRNA
UGACUGCAGCCCACCUGUGGACUCCACCCUGAUUGUUCGAUCGUCUUCCUCCUGGAUUUCCUUCCACCUCAUCAGCAGUAAUGACUGAUGCUAACCUCAUCAGUCUCAUCAGUCUCUCAUGAUGAGGAGCUCUGUGACUGGUUUUGUGACAUUAUUAUUCACACUUGAAUGAGAACAUGAAGCGACACUGCAGUGGAUCUUCCCUCAUCCUUAAAGUGCAGCAGUGGAUAAUCUGUUGAAGCACGCCAAGAUGACAAAGAUCUUCCGCCUCCAGGAAUGUUAUGAGCUGCAGUCCUUUGGCAGACUGCAGGGCUGCCUUUGUCCUCCUGUCUCAAAAAUGCAAAAGUCACUUUUAAA